GCAGCCCGGCCGGAACCGGCCCCGCGCGCGGGCGGGCUCCGCUGCUCGGGAACUCGGGGCCUUCCGCAGAGCCCUGUCAAGCCUGAAGUGCCUGGGCACAAGAUAGCGGAGUUUUGGUCUCAGUCUUGUGCAGCUGCUCCAGCUCCCUCGUCCUUUGUGUCCUUGGAAGCUGGGGAUGAUGGAAGCUUUUUAGAGCAAAGCCUAGCCGAAUGGGACUGACUUUUUUUCUGUGACAGCUUGCACUAGGCCCCAAAUCCCCCUCUAAGUGGAUUUGAGCCUGUCUUGUAUCCAGCAUGCAGACUACAAGCAGAACCCAGCUCAGGAGGUUCUGAAGAGGCUUUUGAAGAGACUACUUCAUUCAAAAAGACAAGAAUUCCCUCACAAAAUAAAAGCUUUCUGCAAAACAGAACAGAGACAACAAAGAAACAGUUUUUACAGCUCUGGGAAGCUGCCACAAGCACCUCAGCAGUAAAACUACUAAUAAAAUUCAGUGUGGAUAACUACAAUAUAAUCAAUCAUGGAAAACCAUACAGCUGGCCUGCAGAGGAACGGGACACAUAAUAUUUUAGGUCCUGUUGAGAAAGGAAUUCACAGGCUAUGUCAAUACUGGAUUCAAAGCAGAUCCUAAGAAAGAUUUAGUGUUCAAAAGUGAGCACGCUUCUUACACAGUCAAGCCCACACCAAUCUGGAUUCUCCAGGGAAGGGUGGAAGAAUCACCAUUCUUAACACAUUGUCUGCCUGCUGCCAGCCCAUUAUCAAGUAACUCUGGGGAUCUGUGUGCAGGGUGAAAUGAGUCACUUCAUCUCAGUGUCAGGAAAUGGCUGUCGCCUAUGCUGGCCGGGCCAUCAAAAAAAAAAAAAGUUCUGCUUUUUCCACCUCACUUUUGUCUGUUCAUUCCCAUUCUCCUGGCACAAGCAUUGCUGUGGCCAUACCAUAAAUCUUGAAAAUAGAUCUGCCUCAAAACCAACCACUUCUUCAGGAUUAAUUAAUCCUGACCAUUUCCCUAUUUCAAUCCACUAUACAUCUACACAGUGAGCUGGGCCAGUAUGAAUGAGGAGACAAAAGGAUAAGAAUAAGCAGCUGAGGGAAGGUCUGCUUCUUUCAGAGGUGAUGCGAGCUCUGCAGCUGAAGGAAUUAAGUAGGCUCAUAAACCAUGUAAUGAUAUACUAACUCUUCCUCUCUUCAUCCCCACUGAACCAGAGGCACUGAUCCCCUGCCUCUGCUUUUGAUUUAGGAGAGGCAUCUCUAUGACCAGUGGUGAGCAUAUUCACAGAACUAAGCUUGCAGGAAAACAUCCACCUUUUGUUUGGAUUAAUGUUUUGGUUACUCAUCCUGGGGACAGAGGAGCACCAAUGGCACCUGAAGAGAAGUAGAAAGGCCAUCCUUUUCAUCAGUGCUAUUAUCUUUGAUAUUUUUAAAAUAAUCAGAUUUAAAAAAAAGAAAAAGUACCUAUUAUCUGCAAAAAAAAUACAAUAACUAACAGAGAAAUUACUUGCAUAUCACCCUCUGUGGAAGAAGGGUAAGGAAGAAUAUGACUUUGUUGACACUGCCAAGAUGGCUCAACAGCAUCCUACAAGUGCCACUCAACAAAAGUAGAUAAGAGGAAGUUUAAAAACAGAAAAACAAACACUGUCACAUGAAUUUUUGUCAAACUGUGAAAUUCAUUAUCAGUGUUGAGAACACAAAGAAGAUAAAAUGGGUUAAAAGGGGAUCAGGCAGUGAAACCGGAAGUAGAACAGCCAAUAGCUAUUAAACCUGGCCACAGAAAUACUAACUGGGAGAAGGUGGGAAGUAUAUGUCCGUGAAUAGGUCACUCCAUGCAGGUUGAUUUCCUCCCCUCUUCUUUUUCCAAGCAUUUACUACCAAUCAAUAUCACCAACAGUAACUUUAAAAGGCAGGUCUUAUGCCAGGUAUGUAUUAAAAUUAGUUCAUAACAUUUUCCAUUUUAGACUUUGCUUGAAAGCAUUUGAAAAUGCAGAAGCUUUUUUCUCCUUCUCUAAGGGAGAAUAAGUUAGAAAAAUCAAAGGCAGAAGACUGAAGAAUUGCAAAUAAGUGCUAUCAUGACAAGGAUCCUGGACCUACAGCUCUGAAAAUGAAUACUUUUUCCAUUAUACAAUCAUUUCUUAGUUGGUGUGAACACCUGUAGCUGCGUGCAGAACAAACUUCCUUGUUGACAUGACUGAACCCACAAAGAAAUCUUUCCUUUCCCUGUGAAGAUGAUAUUCCUUCUCUCCUUUAUUCUUGGUAUUGCACCCUUUGCCUCCAUCUGAAACUUGGGUUGACAGGGACAAAAGAUUCUCCACUGAUGGGAUGAAGAACUUGUCCCUCUUUCUGAGGAAAAGUAGCUGUGCUCUAGACCCACUCUGUCACCACCAUCAAAUGAACAAACUCUAAGUGCUCUGCUGACAAGGCAGAUGAAGAAUGUUAUUUCUAAAUCAAGAAGGAUGUUCCCCACUACAAUAAAUACUGCAGAAACUGCCAGAUAAGAAUAUUUUGUGUAGUAACCUGCAGGGCCUGCAUGACAACUUAAAUGACAGUCAUUAGCUUUUGAGGAGUUGCAAUGUAAAUUAAUGAUUUAAGGACAGUCUGGGAUAAAGUCCUUCCCAAGGCUGCAGUCUGUGAAGGCUCAGGCUGUUCAUGAGAUCUCACAUGGAUUGCCUCUUGUGUUUCAGAGCCCUGUUUUGUGCACUGCAUUGUUCUGGCACAAUGGGCUGGAAUUGCAUCUUUUAGCCAUGAAUCCUGUACAAGCCUGAGGAUUUAGAGAAAGAACUGCCCUUGCAUCUUCCCUCAGCUUAGUACAGGGUAAGGACAUUGCCAUCACAUUUGUUCUGGAAAAGCACAACUGGGUCAUAAAAAGAGUAGUUUCCUGUUGGGUCACAGUUUUAGUGCAACUGUGGCCUCAGCAUGUGGUACACUUCUGUGUGCACACUGUAUUGUUUCUGUGUCUGCACCAAACUGUAAUAACUGUGAAGAAAAUAGAUUGCAAUUAAGCAACCAGGGAGACAGCAGAUGGAUGCAGACAGAUGGGAACAAGCCAGGAAGUUAGGAGCCAGGAUUGGUCACAAUGAGAAGCAAUAGUCAAAGUACACUAUCAGCAUAAUGUCAGUGAUAGUUACUAGUGAGUUUUAAGGGUGUAUUGGAAGGCAAGAAAGAAAAUAAUGUUAUAGAUGCUCCUGACACUCCUUUGCAAGGGUAUGGGAAAGAACAGGAGAAAGGUGUUUCUUUGAGAAGGUGACAGGCUGCAUGUGGCAGCUGGCAUUGUGUCCACUGGUGCAGGUGAAGAGAAGUGUGCA